GGAAUCUUGGACAAUGGGGGAAACCCUGAUCCAGCCAUGCCGCGUGAGUGAUGAAGGCCUUCGGGUUGUAAAACUCUUUCGACGGGGACGAUAAUGACGGUACCAGCAGAAGAAGCUGCGGCUAACUACGUGCCAGCAGCCGCGGUAAUACGUAGGCAGCAAGCGUUGUUCGGAGUUACUGGGCGUAAAGAGUGCGUAGGCGGUUGCUUAAGUUUGGUGUGAAAUCUCCCGGCUCAACUGGGAGGGUGCGCCGAAAACUGGGCAGCUUGAGUGUCGGAGAGGUACGCGGAAUUCCUGGUGUAGCGGUGAAAUGCGUAGAUAUCAGGAGGAACACCUGUGGUGUAGACAGCGUACUGGACGAUAACUGACGCUGAGGCACGAAAGCGUGGGUAGCAAAC
rnacentral:rRNA from 1 species